rnacentral:rRNA from 1 species
GACGAACGCUGGCGGCGUGCCUAAUACAUGCAAGUCGAGCGGACUAAUGGGAGCUUGCUCCCGUUAGUUAGCGGCGGACGGGUGAGUAACACGUGGGUAACCUACCUAUAAGACUGGGAUAACUUCGGGAAACCGGCGCUAAUACCGGAUCAUAUUUUGAACCGCAUGGUUCAAUAGUGAAAGACGGUUUCGGCUGUCACUUGUAGAUGGACCCGAGCCGUAUUAGCUAGUUGGUAAGGUAACGGCUUACCAAGGCGACGAUACGUAGCCGACCUGAGAGGGUGAUCGGCCACACUGGAACUGAGACACGGUCCAGGCUCCUACGGGAGGCAGCAGUAGGGAAUCUUCCGCAAUGGGCGAAAGCCUGGCGGAGCAACGCCGCGUGAGUGAUGAAGGUCUUCGGAUCGUAAAACUCUGUUGUUAGGGAAGAACAAAUUUGUUAGUAACUGAACAAGUCUUGACGGUACCUAACCAGAAAGCCACGGCUAACUACGUGCCAGCAGCCGCAUAA